rnacentral:rRNA from 1 species
GUUGAACGCUGGCGGCAUGCCUAACACAUGCAAGUCGAGCGAAUAAAGGAAGCUUUUGCCUGGCUUCCGCUACCGGCGGUUGAGUAAUUCCUACGAAUCUACCUUGCCUUUGAGGCUGAGGUCACUUCACGGACCCUGAUACAUCAUCCGUUCUUAUAUUUAAACGUAUGGUUCUUUUGACCACACCCUAUUUGCUUUCCCUAGUUCGUUUUACCUCGCCGCAUUAGCUAGUUGGUAAGGUAACGGCUUACCAAGGCAACGAUGCGUAGCCGACCUGAGAGGGUGAUCGGACACACUGGAACUGAGACACGGUCCAGACUCCUACGGGAGGCAGCAGUAGGGAAUCUUCCGCAAUGGGCGAAAGCCUGACGGAGCAACGCCGCGUGAGUGAUGAAGGUCUUCGGAUCGUAAAACUCUGUUAUUAGGGAAGAACAAAUGUGUAAGUAACUAUGCACGUCUUGACGGUACCUAAUCAGAAAGCCACGGCUAACUACGUG